UACAGAGGUCUCAAGCGUUGUUCGGAUUCAUUGGGCGUAAAGGGUGCGUAGGCGGCGCGGUAAGUCGGGUGUGAAAUCUCGGAGCUUAACUCCGAAACUGCAUUCGAUACUGCCGUGCUUGAGGACUGGAGAGGAGACUGGAAUUUACGGUGUAGCGGUGAAAUGCGUAGAUAUCGUAGGGAAGACCAGUGGCGAAGGCGGGUCUCUGGACAGUUCCUGACGCUGAGGCACGAAGGCCAGGGGAGCAAACGGG
rnacentral:rRNA from 1 species